GAUGAAGAACGCAGCGAAAUGCGAUACUUGGUGUGAAUUGCAGAAUCCCGUGAACCAUCGAGUCUUUGAACGCAAGUUGCGCCCGAAGCCAUUAGGCCGAGGGCACGCCUGCCUGGGCGUCACACGUCGUUGCCCCCCCAUCUACUCCUUCGGGAUUGCGAGGGGCGGAUGAUGGCCUCCCGUGCGCCUCGUCGCGCGGUUGGCAUAAAUGCCAAGUCCUCGGCGACGCGCGCCACGACAAUCGGUGGUUGCGAAACCUCGGUUGCCCGUCGUGUGCGGUCGUCGCGCAUCGAGGGCUCGAAAAAAUUGCCGGGCUCCGGCUCGGCUUUCAACGCGACCCCAGGUCAGGCGGGGUUACCCGCUGAAUUUAAGCAUAUCAAUAAGCGGAGGA
rnacentral:misc_RNA from 1 species